rnacentral:misc_RNA from 1 species
GUAUUGAUUCGCGCGUGAUCGCGCAAAGAACAUUCUACACUAGGGUGUUUGAUGUUUAAAAACGUGAGCACCCCCCUCCGAGGAAGGGGGGACGCACGCGGUGAUGCACAAAGGGGUGAGAUGGAUAUUUGUAUGUGAGAGCACUCGGGCGUGCACGACGAAAAGUCAGCGACAGCCCUUGCACCUCAGUUUUACGAUAAUGAUCCUUCCGCAGGUUCACCUACGGAAA